rnacentral:rRNA from 1 species
UGAGGAAUCUUGCGCAAUGGGCGAAAGCCUGACGCAGCGACGCCGCGUGGAGGAUGACGGUUUUCGGAUUGUAAACUCCUGUUAAGCGGGAAGAAAACCUUGUUUCUAAUACAAGCAAGGUAUGACGGUACCGCUAGAGAAAGCACCGGCUAACUUCGUG